AGGAGAGGGCGAGGGAGAAGAAAAACAAAAGAAGAAGGUCCGGCCGGGGACAUUUCCAAGCUCAGAUAAAUUCACGAAGCACUUUUUAACCACAGAACCUCUGGAGCACAGUGAGGAGCACUGUGAGUCUUCAAGAAUUCUCGGCAGACACAACAUCUUUGUUGGUAUGUGGUGCUGAGGAUCGAACCUGGGCCGCACUCAUGCCAGGUACCAUUUUACAGAAUAGAUGUGGGGGACAUUAAAGCCAAUCCAGUUAAGGAAUGAGGGGAGCCGUGGCCCUCUGGGGGUAAGAUACUGCCCUCCCGUGCCCCAGGCUUUGGUGUGACCAUCACUUGAUG